GAGAAAAACUCUUCUAUCCCCAUUCCCUUCUUCUUUUCUUCCAUUUUCCCCUUUCUCUCAAUACCCUAUUUCUCCUCUAUUCUACUUGGUAAUGAGAUGAAGGAUUUUUCCUUCAAAUUGAAGGGAUUUAGGAGCAGAACCUUUGGAGAAGGAAACCCAUAUUCAAGUUGAAACUCUAGCUAGAGAACAAAGUAAAUUUUCGGUUUGGUGCUUUGUUUUAUAUGACGUCUUCUCAUUGGAUUUGAAGCUGAUUCACAUCUUACUAAAACUCUUACUGUAUACUCUGCAAAGCUAUGUAUUAUUCAUGAUGAAAGAACUGUUCUAAAUCCACGAAGAGUGAUGCGCGCUUUAAGCUUAUACACCAACAACUUCAAUUUAACAAGACAGCAGGAUGCUUCAGAAGCUUUUCUUCAUCUCUUGUCGUCACUGAAGAAUGAGAGCUCCCACAAUUACGUGCUACACAGUAGUUCUCUUGCCAACAUUACCUUUUCUUCCUCCAGGAUAUAUAACCGGAAGGCAGGAGACCAGCAUGAAUUUGAGAGGUGGAGACAAAUUCUUUUUGGUCCAUUUGAAGGCACCAUUGGAAGCAUAUUAACUUACAGAAGUUGUUCAUCUCUGCUUUUAGUUGACUUUGAGAGUUUCCACUGCUUGCCACUCUCACCUGUGCUGGAUAGAAGUGAAAAUAUUGUAUGUCCAUCAAGGGCCUUCUGAUUUUGCUUUUUUUCGUAUUUUUUUAGAUUGAUGGAUGUACUUUGAUGGAUUGUCUGAAGCAUUUUACUGCUGUAGAGCAUCUAGAAAGCUACCAUUGCAGUCGAUGCUGGCAUAUCGCUGUCAUAAAGCACUUAUCUCUUAAAUCAGAAAAAGACGAGGUAAUUUUGAUGAUUCUGAGGCUUCUUUCAUCAACAUACAGAGGAUCGAAGUUUGAUCAUAAAUAAUUUGCUAAAAUGCAGCGAACCUCUUAUAUAUCUUGUUUUCUGCAUUGUCCCCUGAAAUUUUCAAUACUGACAUUUUACCCUGUUAAUCUGUGAGCAAUCAAAUCAAUCAAUCUCGCCUAACAGGGUCCUAAUGAAUAUGAACUGAAGAAACCUAGUUUCGCUUUCACAUUAGAUUUUGUGCACAACAGGAAAGUUAGGACCAAAUGGGAGUGAGGUUCAUUCUAAAUCUACUUUGUACAUAUUUGAUACCAUUAAGUCUGUUUUCAGGGCUCUGAUGUUAUAUAUUUGUGUGUUUUAUUAUGAAACUGCAGUGGGUUUGUAAAGUUGGCUCUUUCUUGUACCAAUUAUUUCUACUUGUAUAAUAAAUGUUUGGUAAAUUAACACUA